rnacentral:lncRNA from 1 species
UCUAACACAAUACAAAUCAAUGAAGUGUCAGUCUGUGUCUGUGUUUGCCUAAGGAAAUUAUCAUCUUAGCCAGUGUAAAAGCAACCUGUACCUUUCACGUUUGUAAUUACACACUUGGGAGAUGGGUAAGGAUACUAGUACAGCCUGAAUAGAAAAGACUACUACUUAUCUAGAUAUCAGCUGCUGAUAGACACAGUUAUGGGAAUAAUUCAGUGACUACAUCGAUCUUUACAAGUGCGACCAUUCCAUUCCAACACUCAGGUUUUACAAAACAGACUACUACUUGGGAGAUGGGUAAGGAUACUAGUACAGCCUGAAUAGAAAAGACUACUACUUAUCUAGAUAUCAGCUGCUGAUAGACACAGUUAUGGGAAUAAUUCAGUGACUACAUCGAUCUUUACAAGUGCGACCAUUCCAUUCCAACACUCAGGUUUUACAAAACAGACUACUACUUGGGAGAUGGGUAAGGAUACUAGUACAGCCUGAAUAGAAAAGACUACUACUUAUCUAGAUAUCAGCUGCUGAUAGACACAGUUAUGGGAAUAAUUCAGUGACUACAUCGAUCUUUACAAGUGCGACCAUUCCAUUCCAACACUCAGGUUUUACAAAAAAAAAAGGUGAGCAGAGUUCAAAGCCACACCCUUUUUUAAAAUACACCUGCUAAGAGUAUUCUUCUUCUUCUUCCCCAAGUUAGGUGAAGCAGCAUAAUCCCAGUUUGUUUUCAAGUUAGCUAGCCUAUAUACAGAUGUUGCAGGAACACGUCCCGAAAACAGCGGUGGUAGAUGCAGAUCAAGCUUCUUCGAUAUAUAUGUACUCCAUUUUUUAUAUUUACAGUGGAGAGUCAUCAG